UGCAAGCAAUGAUGGAAAUAGCGUAAGAUUUUCUUUCCCUAGAUAAGAGUUGGACAGAUUUACUUUUUGCCUUCUAUAAAUGUAGCUAAUUUAAAUUUAUAUCGUCAGUCUAGCAAUGAAGUAGACAUUACAUGUAGAUGAUUCUUUCUCCAAGGUUUUGAAGUCAUGAGCAAAAGUUACAAAAUAAUUUGUGUGUCUAGGGAUACAUAGGAAAAUUAGUCUCUGUACUUUAUCAUUAUACUUUCUAUUGAGAUUUAAUACUGAAAUAACUAUGGAAAGUGAAAUAGAGGAGACUCUUACUGUAAAAACGUGUGAAAACUAUAUAAGGGAAGGCUAGUUUUUGAGUCAAAAGCUAGAAUUUGAAUGUUAAAAGUUGCACAGCCUGGUAGCUGGUGAGUAGGGCACAUUUUAUGUACUGGAACAUAGCAAACAAAAUCAGUCUUCCUACCAGGUGAGAAAAAAAAUCCCUAAAUUGUGUCUUGCACACCUGCUGAAAAAGAGAUGGAAAGCCUAUGGGAACAGGACACUUAGGCCAUCCUGAUUAGAGGACCAGGACUAGUAAAGAGGAUCUCUUACUAAUGAAUUAGAAAAGCAGCAGCAGAGAGGAAAUCAUGAAGAAAUAGUGUAAUAGGACCAGAGAUGUUAGUAGGUAAGGAACAGAAAGGGCAUCAAAAUAAUCCUCAGUGUUUUCAUGUUGAGACACAUUCCUUCCUCUCCCUACCUCACUCCUCAUUUCCCACUUCUCUCUCUUGCUUCUCUAUAUCUUUAACACAUACUCUCUUUAUCGUUUAGCUUUAGAUGUCUGUCUUAAGUUGAUAUCUAUUCAUUUUCCUACCUCUACCCACUUUCCCAAAACAUAAGAAUCUCUUUAGCUGUGUAAAGAAAGGUAGUAACAUAAAUCUGGAUAAUAAUUGGAAAUUGUGGAACAAGAAGAAGGUCAUUCUCUCAAGUGAGAAGUGAGGGGGAAAUUUUAAGAGAGUCAAACUGCUACCUUAAGAAAUACAGUAGAGAUGAGAGUGAAUUUUGAAAUUAAAGAAAUUGGCAUGUAAUUGAUCUUUAUUUUCAAAGGAGCAGGUGUUUUUGGUAGGAACUACAUGAUAGGAUUGAUUCAGCAGUUGGGGUUACCAGGCCUCAAUUAGUAGAGAAGAGCAAAUGCAAAUGCGUGAGAAGGUCAUCCUCUGGGUUUUCAGAAUACAACUUCAGGCUCUAUUAUGAACUAUUCCCUUCCUCUUCCAUUCUUAAGGUGUGACUUCAAAAGAAUAACUAUGAAUAAUAUAAUCUGCUAUGACAGUAUAUAAGUAGAGAAUGUUUAAUAAAUCCUAAUUGCCAUUGCAUUCCUCUUGUUUUUAAAUCUUCUAUGGUACUUGCCCAGUGCUUGCCACGGUGGUUUUCUAUAACUUUCUCUUGUGUAUUUUAAAAGUAUACAAUCAAUAAUUUCCUACAUACCUAAAACGCCGUAGAGGGGAAAUCUAGUUACUGAGCCAGAGGCUACUUUAUUGAGGAGUCUCGCUCUGUUUCCCAGGCUGGAGUGCAGUGGCAUGAUUUUGGCUCACUGCAACUUCCACCUCCCGGGUUCAAGCAAUUCUCCUGCCUCAGCCUCCCUAGUAGCUGGGAUUACAGGUGUGCACCACCACACCUGGCUAAUUUUUGUAUUUUUAGUAGAGAUGAGAUUUCACCAUGUUGGCCAGGCUGGUCUCAAACUCCUGACCUCAAGUGAGCCACCUGCCUUGGCCUCCCACAGUACUGGGAUUACAGGCAUGAGCUGCCACGCCCACCCGGCCCAGAGGCUACUUUGAAUAUUCGAAAGUUCACAGCCUGGCAGCUAGUGAGGGGCCUCCCUAGUGUAAGCAUUCCAGAGCAAACUGACCAUGCCUGCAGGAAGAAUUAAUACAGCAGACCAGCAAGACUUAUGCCUAAAAAUUCUAAAGUUAUAUAUUAUUAAAAAGAAGUAUAUUUAAUUUAGCUCAUGUCUUUAUGACAAAGGCAUCUAGUGGAUAUUUAAUAAAUACUUGGAAGGAAAUACAAUACCAGUAUUGCAGAUAGAUGUCUGUAAAUCCCAAGUAAUUGAAAUUUUGCAGGUCAAAGGAAUAGUGUUUUCUUCUAAGAAAGAGGCAAGAUCAAAGAAGUUUUUGCUAAUUAAGAGACUUACUCCAGGUAAAUCAAGGAAGACAACAGAAAGAAGGAAAACUAUACAAAUAUUUUUGGGGUGUGGAGAUGGGUGUUUCAGAAAUGAAAUAGGGAAACAAAGCAAGAGGAGAAGAGAGUUACGGUAUCAGCGAUGGGAAAUGGAAGAGACAAAUUCCUGAAACUGUGGGGAAAGUGUAUUGCUAAUUACCAAAUUAUUGUGAGAAUGGAGGAGUGGGUUGAAUCAUAAAAGGAUAAAGCAUAUUUAAUUAAAUGGAAAUCAAGACUUUUAUAACCUGGAAAAAUCAGAAUUAUGUAGUCAUAUAGAAGUGAAAGUGAUUUUAGUGAAAGGGAAAAUCAUUAUCUAAAAUGUUAGAUGACACUAACAAAAAUAGCUUAACAGUUAGUAAAUUCACCUUACUUUUAUUUUACACAUUCAUGCAAACAUUUCAUGUAAUUAUUCUUCCUUAGAACCUUUAAUGAUUUUUCAGUGAUGCAUGUAGUAUAUAAUAAUUAAAAUUAGGCCAGGCUCAGUGGCUCACACCCGAAAUCCCAGCGCUUUGGGAGGCCAAGAUGGGAGAAUUGCUUCAGCUCAGGAGUUCAAGACUGGCCUGAGCAACAUGGCGAAACCUCAUCUCUACUAAAAAUACAAAAAAAUAGUUGGGCGUGUUGGUGCAUGCCUGUAGUCUCAGCUACUCAGGAGGCUGAGGCGGGAAGAUGGUUUGAGCAUGAAAGGCAGAGGUUGUAGUGAGCUAAGAUUGUACCACUGCACUCCAUCCAGCCUGGGCGACAAAGUGAGACCCUGUAUCAAAAAAAAAUGAAAAAAAUAUCGGAGGAACCCACCCCCAAUAUUUCAACAUAGGUUUUUUUCUGUUUUCCGUGUCAGCCAGCUGAGAAAGAAAGAGAAAGAGUACUAAGAGAGGAAUUUUACAGCCAGGCCACCAGAGGUGACAUGACAUAUCGGUAGGACUGUGAUGCCCACCCAAGCCUCAAAACCAGCAAGUUUUUAUUAAGGAUUUCAAAAGCGGAGGGGGUAUACGAACAGGGUGUAGGUAGGUACAAAGAUCACAUGCUUCAAAGGUCAAAAAACAUAACAAAGUUCACAUGCUUCUGAGGAAACAGGACAAAGGGCAAAAUGCAGAACUUCUGAUAAGGGUCUAUGUUCAGUGGUGCACCUAUUGUCUUGAUAAACAUCUUAAACAACAGAAAACAGGGUUUGAAAGCAGUUCUGACCACAAAUUUAACAGGGUGGAGUUUCCCAAUCGUAGUAAGCCUGAGGGUACUGCAGGAGACCAGGGCAUCUCAGUCCUUAUCUCAACCACAUAGGACAGACAUUCCCAGAACGGCUGUUUAUAGACUUCCCCCCCAGGAAUGCAUUCCUUUCCCAGAGUAUUAAUAUCAGUAUUCCUUGCUAGGAAAAGAAUUUAGCGAUAUCUUCCCUACUUGCACAUCUGUUUGUAGGCUCUCUGCAAGAAGAAAAAUAUGGUUCUUUUUGCCCAACCCCGCAGGCAGUCAGGCCUUAUGGUUGUCUUCCCUUCUUCCCUAAAAAUCGCUGUUAUUCUGUUCUUUUUCAAGGUGCACUGAUUUCAUACUGUUCAAACACAUAUGUUUUACAGUCAAUCUUUACAGUUAACACAGUUAUCACAGUGGUCCUGAGGUGAUGUACAUCCUCAGCAUAUGAAGAUAACAGGAUUAAGAGAUUACAGGUCACACAAAACAGACUGAUUUUCCUGUGGAAGACCUCACAGGAGUUCUCUUGAACCAGGAGACUGUUUUGAGCUGAAAUACCUGGAGCCCUCUCAAGCUAUUGGGCCUUUCAAUUUGAAACCCAGGUUUGGACGAUUGUAAGCCCUAUGGCAGAGACUGUAAUUUUCUCUUCACCCUCAGGGUGGGGACUCACCCUCAGGGUUGGGAGUGACUGCUGUCUCUCAAGCCCCCACCAAUUACACCAUGUUCUGGUUGUUAAAAUCCAGUGUAUGCAUGAAAUGUAAUAAAAGUAUCUUUGCAGCA